rnacentral:misc_RNA from 1 species
AAAUGCGAUAAGUAAUGUGAAUUGCAGAAUUCAGUGAAUCAUCGAAUCUUUGAACGCACCUUGCGCUCCUUGGUAUUCCGAGGAGUAUGCCUGUUUGAGUGUCAUGGAAUUCUCAACUCUAUUUGCUUUUGUGAAUAGAGCUUGGAUUUGGAGGUUUAUUGCUGGUACUUGUGAUCGGCUCCUCUUGAAUGCAUUAGCUCGAACCUUUGCGGAUCAGCUAUCGGUGUGAUAAUUGUCUACGCCGUUGCAGUGAAGCAUAUCAAUGGGCUCGGCUUCCAAUCGUCCUUUACUGGACAAUGACUUUGACCUUUGACCUCAAAUCAGGUAGGAUUACCCGCUGAACUUAAGC